rnacentral:ncRNA from 1 species
GGGAGCCUGAGAACGGCUACCACAUCCAAGGAAGGCAGCAGGCGCGCAAAUUACCCACUCCCGGAACGGGGAGGUAGUGACGAAAAAUAACGAUACGGGACUCAUCCGAGGCCCCGUAAUCGGAAUGAGAACACUUUAAAACCUUUAAACGAGGAUCAAUUGGAGGGCAAGUCUGGUGCCAGCAGCCGCGGUAAUUCCAGCUCCAAUAGCGUAUAUUAAAGUUGUUGCGGUUAAAAAGCUCGUAGUCGGAUCUGUGUCUGGACGGUGCCGGACCACCCUGGCGGUCCGUCGUGUCGCGGCCGGCCGUGUCGCGGGACCACGUGUCCCGUCGGCGCGGUCGCCGUCGCGCUCGUCAGCCGUCUCGGGGUGUUAGUUACCGGCACGUCGGCCGGACGUAUUGUCGGCAGGCGGACACGUGUCUCGUGCUUCCGGCGCGCCGCGCGGCCACGCGUCGCGCGGCCGUCGGUGUUCGACGACGGCGGCCGCCUACUCCAAUCUUGCUGCGCGGUGCUCUUCACCGAGUGCCGUCGGCGGGCCGACACGUUUACUUUGAACAAAUUAGAGUGCUCAAAGCAGGCUCGAAUCUGGCGGGGCGGCUUCACGGCCGUCUCGUCAAAAGGCCCUGAAUACUGGUCGCAUGGAAUAAUGGAACAAGACCUCGGUCCCGCGCAUCUCCGCCCUUCGCGGGCGCGCGAAAUCGCCCUCCGGGGCGUUUCCGUGCGCGGGCCGCCCGGGCCGCGGGCGCCAGUCGCCCGCGCGUCCCGCCGGGCCGGUUUUCGGGACCGGAGGUAAUGAUCACAGAGACGGGCGGGGGCAUUCGUACCGAGACGUUAGAGGUGAAAUUCUUGGAUCCGUCUCGAGACGAA